CCUAGGGGGGGCUGCAGUGGGGAAUAUCGGACAAUGGGCGAAAGCCUGAUCCAGCCAUGCCGCGUGUGUGAAGAAGGCCUUCGGGUUGUAAAGCACUUUCAGUGGGGAAGAAAGCCUUGGGGCUAAUACCCUCGAGGAAGGACAUCACCCACAGAAGAAGCACCGGCUAACUCCGUGCCAGCAGCCGCGGUAAUACGGAGGGUGCGAGCGUUAAUCGGAAUUACUGGGCGUAAAGCGCGCGUAGGCGGUCUGAUAAGCCGGUUGUGAAAGCCCCGGGCUCAACCUGGGAACGGCAUCCGGAACUGUCAGGCUAGAGUGCAGGAGAGGAAGGUAGAAUUCCCGGUGUAGCGGUGAAAUGCGUAGAGAUCGGGAGGAAUACCAGUGGCGAAGGCGGCCUUCUGGACUGACACUGACGCUGAGGUGCGAAAGCGUGGGUAGCAAACAGGAUUAGAUACCCCAGUAGUC
rnacentral:rRNA from 1 species